ensembl:lncRNA
GUGCACAAAAAAACCCUUAGUUUAAACCAGCCUAUAAGCAGAGAGUGUUGCCCACUAUAGUCUGUCUAUAAAAACUCUGUAACACCUUUGUUAGGGGCUCAGAGCUUGGAGGGUUAACUCCUCUGGGACGGCUGGUGUAAUAAACCUGUUUUCCAACUCUCUGAGUGUGGUGCUUGGAUUCUCGAUUACUGGUUUCUGCAACAUUUCUGGAGGCUCCAGCAAGAUUCCAACCACACCAGCCCCUUGAGCCGCCAGAAAGGUGGCUUGGCCAGGCUGAAGCAAAGGAAUCCUGAGAUGAAUGAGGAGGCGUGCCACCUGAUGGUAUUCCGGGUUCUCUUUCACACUGGUGUUCCAACUUUCUGGAUGGCCGAAUCCUGACUAGACUCUUUGGAGGAAUGGACCAACCCACCAGGAGUGGCCACAGGAUCAGGUGUCAUCCCUUGGAUCCACCACACCAGAGUCAAGAAGGCAGCAGCUUCCUGUGAUGAGGACACCUGGAAAGCAGUUCGGGACCCCAAAGACCUCCUCAAGGUCAGGUUCCAAAGACAAUGGCCCUCACCCAUGAAGGACGCUGAGCCCUUCUCUAGUCAUUCGGAGGCUGACUAGUCAGUGCACAGCAGAAGCUUGAGGGUUCUUCAGCCUUGCUCCGGCCACAUUCCAGCAGAUGGCUGGUCAAAGCAUGGCAGAAGCUGGAGGAUCCAGCUAUCAAAGUAUCAAUGGAUUUUCAUUGUCAACCCUGGUCUCUAUCCUUAAUCGAAAUUAUUGCUGUGCUUUCCAUUACAGGACCAACAAGACUCCCUGGCUGAGGUGGUUUUAUAGAAUAGGAGAUGUCUAGAUCUACUGACAGCUGAAAAGAGAGGACUACGCCCCUUCUUAAAUGAAGAGUGCUGCUUGUAUGUAAACCAAUCAGAAAUAGUCAGGGACAUGGCCCAACAGCUAAGGGAACCAAUCAUAAAAAGGAGAGAGAAACGAGCUAAUUCCUGGGGUAACUGGAACAAUAUCUGGAGCUGGGCAUCUUGGCUUCUCGAUUUAACAGGGCCUCUCCUCAUGCUCUUUGCAGUGCUCUUGUUGGGCCCUUGUAUUCUCAAUGCAAUUACCCAGUUUAUAACCUCUCAGAUUGAAUCCAUAAAGUUACAAAUGGUAAUAGCUCAAUAUAGCCCCCUAAAUGAUGGGGACCUCUGAAUGUCCUACAAAAACAUGAGAUGAUGCUUUCUACAAUGAAUAAUAGAAGCAUCAAGAGGGGCGAAUGAAGAGGAAAAGUUAAAAUUUUACAUAACCUCCUGCUCCUUCUGCCUCCAUGACUCAGCUUGCUCCUUGCAAGGUCUGGAUCAUGUAGGUCACGUAGUCUCAGAAAGCGCGGACUUACAGUACUAGGAACUGGAGCUUAUCUCACUCACCCUUGCCCUGCUCUUUGCAACUGCCCAGCCCCUGCAAACCUGCUUAAUCAGGCCUGUCCAUGUAAAGGUCAGGCAUUCCCCUUCUCAUCUUGACUGCUGUUCCGUGCGCAAAAACCCCUUAGUUUAAACCAGCCUAUUAGCAGCUAGUCUUGCCCACUAUAGUCUGUCUAUUAAAACUCCACCCUUUGCUCGAGGCUCAGAGCUUGGAGUGUUAACUCCUCUGGGCCCACUGGCAUAAUAAACCUGAGUUCUCCGAC